rnacentral:rRNA from 1 species
UCUACGGUGGCUGCAGUGGGGAAUAUUGGACAAUGGGCGAAAGCCUGAUCCAGCCAUGCCGCGUGUGUGAAGAAGGCCUUCGGGUUGUAAAGCACUUUCAGUGGGGAAGAAAGCCUUGGGGCUAAUACCCUCGAGGAAGGACAUCACCCACAGAAGAAGCACCGGCUAACUCCGUGCCAGCAGCCGCGGUAAUACGGAGGGUGCGAGCGUUAAUCGGAAUUACUGGGCGUAAAGCGCGCGUAGGCGGUCUGAUAAGCCGGUUGUGAAAGCCCCGGGCUCAACCUGGGAACGGCAUCCGGAACUGUCAGGCUAGAGUGCAGGAGAGGAAGGUAGAAUUCCCGGUGUAGCGGUGAAAUGCGUAGAGAUCGGGAGGAAUACCAGUGGCGAAGGCGGCCUUCUGGACUGACACUGACGCUGAGGUGCGAAAGCGUGGGUAGCAAACAGGAUUAGAUACCCGAGUAGUC